GAGCUCAACGAGAACAGAAAUCU
rnacentral:siRNA from 1 species